AAGACUAUACUUUCAGGGAUCAUUUCUAUAGUUCAUUACUAAUAACAAUCAGAAAGAGAAAUUAAGAAAGUCCUAUUUAUAACUGUAUCUGAAAGGA
ensembl:snoRNA U3 Small nucleolar RNA U3